rnacentral:snoRNA from 10 species
UUGCCCAUGAAGUUUAAAACAUGUUGAAUAAAUGAACUGAACUAGUUACACACACUUUGACAA